GGGACUGUAUCUUAGUGGUAGAGUACUUGUCUAGUGUGCAUAAGGCUCUGAGUUUGAUCCCCAGCAUUACCA
rnacentral:tRNA from 1 species